rnacentral:rRNA from 1 species
CACCUACGGGGCGCAGCAGUGAGGAAUAUUGGUCAAUGGGAGAGAUCCUGAACCAGCCAAGCCGCGUGAGGGAAGACGGCCCUAUGGGUUGUAAACCUCUUUUGUCGGAGAACAAAACCCGGGACGUGUCCCGGACUGCGUGUAUCCGAAGAAAAAGCAUCGGCUAACUCCGUGCCAGCAGCCGCGGUAAUACGGAGGAUGCGAGCGUUAUCCGGAUUUAUUGGGUUUAAAGGGUGCGCAGGCGGGAGGUCAAGUCAGCGGUAAAAUGUCGGGGCUCGACCCCGGCCGUCCG